UACGAGGGGGGCGAGCGUUGUUCGGAAUUAUUGGGCGUAAAGGGUGCGUAGGCGGUUUGGUAAGUCUGAUGUGAAAUCUAUGGGCUCAACUCAUAGUCUGCAUCGGAAACUGCCGGGCUUGAGUAUGGGAGAGGUGAGUGGAAUUCCUGGUGUAGCGGUGAAAUGCGUAGAUAUCAGGAGGAACACCUGUGGCGAAAGCGGCUCACUGGACCAUAACUGACGCUGAUGCACGAGAGCUAGGGGAGCAAACAGG
rnacentral:rRNA from 1 species